rnacentral:ncRNA from 1 species
GUUUAACUCCGAGCCUUCAUACCUAACUCACAAGACAGGGUGUGCUGGCCGCGGAUCGCAUUCAAAUGAAUGCUAUUCGCCAGGGUUGCGAGAGAAAUCGGACAGCCUCCCCGUAAGUGUCACCGCGAUUAUGCGUGGCAACUUCAAUUUGGAAAGGUGUUAG